CCGGGCGAUGCACUACAUUGCAUCGCGACCGCAGAAUGCACGCAGUUCGUGAGCCCGACGUUCGUUAGUGAAGGUGAUUCUUUAUACGCCAUCCCAUCUCUUGCAUUAGAUAUUUCACUUGUUUUGCCAUUCAUUAGACGUCAUAAAAGUGAGUCAGGUACCAUUGUUUGUAAUAUUUUCACUAAUUUAUAUUUUUAUUAACAACAGUAGACUCUUCAAAUUUAUAGUGGUUGUGCUUCAUUUCCGAUAAUUUAUAAUUGUAAUUUCACAUAAAAUAUAGUCAAUAUUUAACUUUAUACCAUCUAAGGAAUAAUAUACAGUGAAUUUUAUAAAUUACUUAUCGAUUGUGUUGAUGAAAAUGAGUGAAGCCUUUUAGCAGGACUCUGUAAGUGAAUUUUACAAAAAGUGUAUGUUUAAAUAUAUAACGUGAGAGUAGGAUUAAUCAUCACUUGGAUACUCUGGAUAAUUUUGGAGUUGGAUCAAUCAAAGCUGUAUGGAUAAAUAUUUAAAUGUGAUGAAUGAUGAACAAGUGAAGUGUUAAAGUGUACUGACAUUUUUUUUUUUACCUCUAAUCUAAAAUUGAAACUAAGAAAAAGAACAAUUUAUAAACAUUUAAAAUUAUAAUUAUAUUCUCAUUUCUCGUAGCAAAUAGUGAUUAAAAAAAAAAAUAGUAUCUCAGUAAAGAUACUUUUUGUGGUAUAAUAAUAAAUAUUAAUGUUUGUUUUUAAGUAUAGUGAUUAGUGAUAUUUUAUGGUAAUAUUCUUAUGGUGGAUAUAAUACUUGAUGGAGUCAACCACUACUGAAGAGCACAUAUUUUAUCCCAUGCGGUGACCUUACUAGGUCCACGGGGAGGCUUGUUGAACCUGAAUUCACACCACCUGGCUCCCUCCAGAGAUAUGAGACAAUCUGCUGAGACACUAUAAUCCAGUCGUCAAUCUGCGGACGACACACAAGAGAAGCAGCUACUUGAUGACACUAACCCGUAGAUCCGAACUUGUGGGCUAUUUUAUAUGCAUACCGCAAGCUCCUAUCUACCGGUACAUGUAGUCAGGCCGGCGUUUAUGACCUUUCAUCUCGUUCACGCUGUGACAUGUUUGCUUCAUCUAGAACUUUGGUGCAUCAAUCACCAGUGUAGACGAUGUGUUUACACUUUGCUAAAGAAACAAAAAGAAAAACAAUAAAAGUAAAAACAAA